UACGAAGGGGGCUAGCGUUGUUCGGAAUUACUGGGCGUAAAGCGUGCGCAGGCGGCUUCUCAAGUCAGGGGUGAAAGCCCAGAGCUCAACUCUGGAAUUGCCUUUGAGACUGAGUGGCUUGAGUACGAGAGAGGUGAGUGGAAUUCCCAGUGUAGAGGUGAAAUUCGUAGAUAUUGGGAAGAACACCGGUGGCGAAGGCGGCUCACUGGCUCGUAACUGACGCUCAUGCACGACAGCGUGGGGAUCAAACGGG
rnacentral:rRNA from 1 species